GUAUUUUUUUUUUUUAUUGAAUUACAUAAUUUCAUGUACACUACAGUCACUAUGGAUUUUGCAAUGACCACUAUUCAACUCGUCCUCUUAAUGUUAAGAAACUAACAGUCAAUCAAUGUUCAAUGGUGCUGCAACAACACUCAUGAUAUUGUCUGAUAAAAUUCAGUUAAAAAAAAUAUGUCACGGCAUAUGCCUUCAUCUUACUUCCUAUACAUUUCUAGGAAUAUGAUUGGUUAAAAGCAACCGCGUGGAGACCGUGUAUAUUCCAUAUUAGGUUAGUUGGGAGGCGGGACUUAUUUCAACACGCGGUUAGUAGUGGGUGUUGAGGGAAAAUCUUUAAAGGUUACAACAGACAAUGCAAUCAUGAUGAUGAACGCUUGAAAUGAAUUAAUAAAACACAUUUAAAGCUAACAAGUAGUUGUUGUUGGCAUUUGUUUUUGUAUAGACCAAUGGAAGUAGGUUCUUAAUACUAACGGUAUUGAAGAGUUGGUUACUUUUAUAGGCCAUUAGUCUUAAUACCAAUGUUAAAAUAGUCGGUAAGAUAAAUUCGUUACAUAGUGUGCUAGUGACCUAAUACGAUAAAUAUGGGGUCAGAAAUUUUCAUAUGGGGAUUCGAGCAUCGCUCUCACACCAUAUGGAAUUUACUGACCCCAUAUAUAUCGUGUUAGGUCACUAGCACACUAUGUAACUAAUAAUACCUGUUAAUCAAUAUUUUCCAAUUUGAGUUACAAGGGAAGGGGGGUCCUGGAAAAAUCUAAUAGAAUUUGGUUUUCCAUCCUACAUUGAAUUUUUGAUGUGGACAGAUAUUUGAUAUGAAUGAAAUAAAUCAAACAUUAAUUGCAUUGUCAUAAUUUAUCCCGACAAUCAGGCUGAAGAGUGAAAAAACAUUUGUUAUAAAGUAUACUGACCGACCUUAGAAAUGCAAUACUAG
rnacentral:lncRNA from 1 species